CUACGUAGGUGGCGAGCGUUGUCCGGAAUUACUGGGCGUAAAGGGUGCGUAGGCGGAUAAUCAAGUCAGAUGUGAAAGUCCAUGGCUUAACUGUGGGAGUGCAUUUGAGACUGAAGACCUAGAGUGCAGGAGAGGGAAGCGGAAUUCCUAGUGUAGCGGUGAAAUGCGUAGAUAUUAGGAAGAACACCAGUGGCGAAGGCGGCUUUCUGGACUGUAACUGACGCUGAAACACGAAAGCGUGGGGAGCAAACAGGAUUAGAUACCCUGGUAGUCCACGCCGUAAACGAUGAGUAUUAGGUGUAGGGGACGAUAGUCUUCUGUGCCGGAGCAAACGCAAUAAAUACUCCGCCUGGGGAGUACGGUCACAAGACUAAA
rnacentral:rRNA from 1 species